rnacentral:rRNA from 1 species
ACCAGCAGCCAUAUCACCCUGCAGCUCCCAGCUGGCAGCCCACUGGAGCUCAGCAGGUGUGAGCCUGGUCAGUACCUGGAUGGGAGACUCCUGGGAAAGCUAAGGUUGCUGCUGGAA